AACGAUGAAGAACGCAGCGAAAUGCGAUACGUAGUGUGAAUUGCAGAAUUCCGUGAGUCAUCGAAUCUUUGAACGCACAUUGCCGGUCGACUCUUCGGAGGAGACCACAUCUGCCUCAGCGUCGGAAUACCCCCUCACCCGCGCGGACAUGCGUGUCCGCGCAGUG
rnacentral:rRNA from 1 species